rnacentral:rRNA from 1 species
CGGAAAGGGAAAGGCUUAGUGGCGGACGGGUGAGUAACGCGUGGGUAACCUGGCCCAUACAGGGGGAUAACACUUAGAAAUAGGUGCUAAUACCGCAUAACAACAGAAAGCGCAUGCUUUUUGUUUGAAAACCAAGGUGGUAUGGGAUGGACCCGCGUCUGAUUAGCUGGUUGGCGGGGUAAAGGCCCACCAAGGCGACGAUCAGUAGCCGGCCUGAGAGGGUGGACGGCCACAUUGGGACUGAGACACGGCCCAAACUCCUACGGAAGGCAGCAG